ensembl:misc_RNA Metazoa_SRP Metazoan signal recognition particle RNA
GCCGGGUGUGGUGGUGCAUGCCUGUAAUCCCAGCUACUGGGAGGCUGAGGCAGGAGAAUAGCUUGAGCCCAGGAGUUGAAGGUUGCAGUGAGCCAAGAUGGCACCAUUGCACUCCAGCCUGGGCAACAAGAGUGAAACUCUGUCUCAA